UCCUGUAUUGCUUAAUCGGAAGAGCACUGCAGUCUCAAGGCAUCGCUUGUGGGUUUGAUUCCCACGGGGGGAG